GCCGGGCACGGCGGUGCAUGCCUGUAGUCCCAGCUACUCUGGAGGCUGAGGCUGGAGGAUCUCUUGAGUCCAGGAGUUCUGGGCUGUGGUGCACUAUGCAGAUCAGGUGUCCGCACUAAGUUUGGCAUCAAUAUAGUCACCUCCCGAGAGCGGGGGACUGCCAGGUUGCCUAAGGAGGGGUGAACCAGCCCAGGUCAGAAACAGAACAGGUCAAAACUCCCGUGCUGAUCAGUAGUGGGAUCGCGCCUGUGAAUGGCCACUGCACUCCAGCCUGGGCAACAUGGCGAGAGCCUGUCUCU
rnacentral:SRP_RNA from 1 species